rnacentral:rRNA from 1 species
AGGAUAAACGCUGGCGGCGUGCCUAAAACAUGCAAGUCGAACGGACCUUUCGGGGUUAGUGGCGAACGGCUGAGUAACACGUGGGUGACCUGCCUUCGAACGGGGGAUAACUGCCCGAAAGGGUAGCUAAUACCGCAGAUGUCGAUUCUUCGUUGGAUUGACUGAACUUCCGGGGUUCGGAGAGGGGCCUGCGUCCGAUUAGCUAGCUGGUGGGGUAACGCCUACCAGGGCGACGAUCGGUAGCUGGUCUGAGAGGAUGAUCAGCCAGACUGGGACUGCGAGACGGCCCAGACUCCUACGGGAGGCAGCAGUUAGGAAUUUGGGCAAGUGGG